rnacentral:rRNA from 1 species
UUAAUCGGGAAUACUGGGCGUAAAGCGCGCGUAGGUGGUUAGGUAAGCGAGAUGUGAAGCCCCGGGCUUAACCUGGGAACGGCAUUUCGAACUGUCUGACUAGAGUGUGGUAGAGGGUAGUGGAAUUUCCUGUGUAGCGGUGAAAUGCGUAGAUAUAGGAAGGAACACCAGUGGCGAAGGCGGCUACCUGGACCAACACUGACACUGAGGUGCGAAAGCUUGGGGGAGCAAACAGGAUUAGAUACCCUGGUAGUCCACGCCGUAAACGAUGUCAACUAGCCGUUGGGACUCUUGAAGUCUUAGUGGCGCAGUUAACGCACUAAGUUGACCGCCUGGGGAGUACGGCCGCAAGGUUAAAACUCAAUGAAUUGACGGGGGCCCGCACAAGCGGUGGAGCAUGUGGUUUAAUUCGACGCACGCGAAGAACCUUACCUGGCUGACAUCCAGAGAACUUUUCGGAGAUGGAUUGGUGCUUCGGGACUCUGAGACAGGUGCUGCAUGGCUGUCGUCAGCUCGUGUCGUGGAAUGUUGGGUUAGUCCCGUAACGAGGGCAACCCUAUCCUUGUUGCUAGCA